CUGGCUUACUACAAACAUCGUGACUAAGUUUUGAAGCAAGCAGGAAUAUCUGGAGGAGUAUCAUCUGAACUGAGAUCUGGUGCUGUGAAGAUGCUGUUUGUUAAAGAGGAGAGUGAGGAGGACAAGAGUGAACCAGAAACCUGGAGAAUAAAACACGA